rnacentral:tRNA from 1 species
CAGGCCGUGGCGCAAGCCGGGCGCCAGCGCUUUGCCGCAGCGCUGAUGGAUUGCCGCCUGCCGAUCAUCGACGGUUACGAGGCCACCCGGCGUAU